UUGACCUCGGAUCAGGUAGGAAUACCCGCUGAACUUAAGCAUAUCAAUAGGCA
rnacentral:rRNA from 1 species